UGGGGAAUUUUGGACAAUGGGCGAAAGCCUGAUCCAGCAAUGCCGCGUGUGUGAAGAAGGCCUUCGGGUUGUAAAGCACUUUUGUCCGGAAAGAAAUCCUUGGCUCUAAUACAGUCGGGGGAUGACGGUACCGGAAGAAUAAGCACCGGCUAACUACGUGCCAGCAGCCGCGGUAAUACGUAGGGUGCAAGCGUUAAUCGGAAUUACUGGGCGUAAAGCGUGCGCAGGCGGUUUGCUAAGACCGAUGUGAAAUCCCCGGGCUCAACCUGGGAACUGCAUUGGUGACUGGCAGGCUAGAGUAUGGCAGAGGGGGGUAGAAUUCCACGUGUANAGUGAAAUGCGUAGAGAUGUGGAGGAAUACCGAUGGCGAAGGCAGCCCCCUGGGCCAAUACUGACGCUCAUGCACGAAAGCGUGGGGAGCAAACAGGAUUAGAUACCCUGGUAGUCCACGCCCUAAAACGAUGUCAACUAGUUNUUGGGGGAUUCAUUUCCUUAGUAACGUAGCUAACGCGUGAAGUUGACCGCCUGGGGAGUACGGUCGCAAGAUUAAAACUCAAAGGAAUUGACGGGGUCAUA
rnacentral:rRNA from 1 species